UUUCCGUUGGUGAACCUGCGGAAGGAUCAUUAUUGUAUAACCGAGGUGCGAGGGCUGUCGCUGACCCGAAAGGUCGUGCACGCCCGAGUGCCCUCACACACAUCCAUCUCACCCCUAUGUGCACCACCGCGUGGGUCCCCCUUUGGCUUGUUCGGAGGGGGGCUUACGUUUUUACACAAACUUUGUAUGCAGUGUAGAAUGUAUUUUUUGUUUUUGCGAUCACGCAAUCAAUACAACUUUCAACAACGGAUCUCUUGGCUCUC
rnacentral:misc_RNA from 1 species